UACGGAGGGAGCUAGCGUUGUUCGGAAUUACUGGGCGUAAAGCGCGCGUAGGCGGCUUUGUAAGUUAGAGGUGAAAGCCCGGGGCUCAACCCCGGAACUGCCUUUAAGACUGCAUCGCUUGAAUCCGGGAGAGGUGAGUGGAAUUCCGAGUGUAGAGGUGAAAUUCGUAGAUAUUGGGAAGAACACCGGUGGCGAAGGCGGCUCUCUGGACCGAGACUGACGCUGAGGCGCGAAAGCGUGGGGAGCAAACAGG
rnacentral:rRNA from 1 species